UGUUAAAAGAUUGAAUAUACCUCUAUGGAAUGACUUCCAGAGGGUGGAUGGCAAAACUAAACUGGUGGAAACCAGGGUCUGUGAGAACUUUAUGGAUCAGAGCACCAUGCUAGCCCUGCAGUCGUAAAUGUCUAUAUUAUUAAAGCCACUAUUUUGGAGUCUCUUGUUCUCAACUGAAUUUAAUCUUACCUGAUACUCUGUCUCAGGGCCUUUGCACUUGCUUUUUAUUUUUUAUUUAUUUAUUUUUUUUCUGCCUGGGAUGUGGUCUUCUGUCUUGGAUAUGGCUGACUCAUUCUCUUCCUUCAGGUUAACCCAAAUAUCUCUGACAGGCCUUCCCUGGCCACCGUAUCUAAAAUAGCUCACGUUCCCAUUUAUUCUCUGUCAAUCACGUGCCCCUCUAUUUUCUUAAUAGCAUUUAUAAUUUAUCAUUAUCUUGUUUAUUCACUGUUUAUUUUCUACCUCCCUUCACCCUACAAAAAUAUAAACUACACCUGUUUUUUUCCACUACUUUAUCCUUCACACAUGGUAGGCAUUAGAUAAAUGCUGUUAAAUUAGUGAGUGAAUGAAUCAACAAAAUUCUUAUCCAAGAUUAGCUAGACUUUUUAAAUAAUAAAUGAGUAAAUGUCAACAGAUAUCCUUAACACAAAAUUUGUAAAAUCCAAUCUAGGAAACAGGAAAAACAGUACUAAACUAAUAGGAUAUUCCUGACCUCCAACUUAAUAAAGAAGAUGUCUACCUUUUUCUGGGAAAUCUGUAAGGCUAGUACAAGUUAAAAAAAAAAAGACUGCACUGCAGUAUAUCCAGGGCUAAAAUUCACACUAAAAGGGGUCUGAAUUAUAAUUUACUAGACCUCAGUUUCUUCAUCUUAAAUAUGUGUAAGCUUUGAAUGGUAAUACUAUAACAGUUAAAAGUUUAAUAGUAAGCCCAACUUAUGAGUGACAAAACAUGUUAAACAUUAAUUUAGUCUUCAGGCACUAUUUUAACAAGUGGUUAUUUCUUGAUAAUACUGGCAAGGAUUCAGAGAAACAGGGCUGCUUAUAUUGCUGAGAGUGUAUGUUGGCAGCACUUUUCUAGAGUGCAGUUUGGCAAUAUGUAUCAAAAGCCUUGAGCCAUGUGCAUUUGACCCAGCGAUUCUUUUAGAAAUGUGUCAUAAGCAGGCUGGGUGCAGUGGCUCAUGCCUGUAAUCCCAGCACUUUGGGAGGCCAAGGCGGGUGGAUCACCUGAGGCCAGGAGUUUGAGACCAGCCUGGCCAACAUGGUGAAACCCCGUCUCUACUAAAUACAAACAAAUUAGCUAGGUGUGGUGGUGCACGCCUGUAGUCCCAGCUACUUGGAGGCUGAGGCAGGAGAAUCGCUUGAACCCGGAAGGCGGAGGUUGCGGUGAGCUGAGAUCAUGCCACUGCACUCCAGCUUGGGUGACAGAGCAAGACUCUGUCCAAAAGAAAAGGCCAGGCACGGUGGCUCAGAGAGCCACCUGUAAUGCCAGCACUUUGGGAGUCUGAGGUGGGGUUGGAUCACCUGAGGGCACAAGUUGAAGACCAGCCUGGCCAACAUGGUGAGACCCCAUCUCUACUAAAAAUACAAAAAUUAGCUGGGCAUGCUGGCGGGUGCCUGUAGUUUCAGCUAUUGGGAAGGCUGAGAUGGGAGAAUCACUUGAGCCCAGGAGGCAGAGGUUGUAGUGAGCCGAGAUUGUGCCACUGCAUUCCAGCCUAGGUGACAGAGCGAGACUCCGUCUCAAAAAAAAAAAAAAAAAAGAGAAAUGUAUUAUAAGCAAAUAAGGGUGUGUUUAACAAGUUAAUUGCAAGAGUAUUCUUUACUGCAUCAUUUAUUAGGAGAUUGGUUAAGCAACAUCCAUACAGUGAACAGUAUUCAGCCAUUUGAAAUGAUGUGGAGGAAAUUUUAUUGACAUGAUACAUUGUUAAGAGCAAAAGAAAAAGUUUUAAAAUACAAAUGUUUAAUUUGUAAGUCUCACAAACAUCAUCUAACGAAAUAUACACGAGGUGUUAAGUCAGCCUUGCAAACGUAACUAUUUUUUCAUUAUUUUUAUAUCAGUUACUGUUAUUGGAGCAUUUUAUAUUGACUGAGGAUCUUUAUUAAAACUUCUUCAGCCUUCUGUGAAAUCUUGUUAUGAUGGCUAUAGUGACACUAUAUAAAACACAUAACCAGAAUAUGUUUAUGCUCAAAUAUUUCAAGCAAUAUUUGAUGCUUAAAAUACCAAAGUGACAAUGAAAAUGAAAGAAAUUUGGAUAGUUCCUUAGAGUUAUUUGUUUGUGUUUCAGAUAUGAACAUAAAGUAUGUUUUUAAUAUUACCAGUUUUGAGAAUAAUAGAAUAAAUGCCUUCUCACCUUAAUAAGAUGUUCUGUUCUGACUCAGUAUUCAUUUGCCAUUUAUUUUUCAAAUGUAGCUGAAAUCUCAGUCAUGUUCCAGGCACUAUGUUUUGUCUCUGAGAGAGGAAAAACCAAACUUUUUCCCUGUUCUCAAAUACUACUCAAUACAAUACUUCUGCAACAAGAUGGGGUGGGAUAGCGGUCCCCCCUCACCCCCGCCCACAUCAAACCAUCAAUUUUCUAGCAGACAUCAGCUGGGUGUCUCAAUUCUAUUCAGUUCUGACACUAUCUACCUGGAGGCAGCAUCAGAUCGAACAGAUUGAGGGCUCGGUUCUGCAAGACUGCCCCCACCACUUCCAGUACCAGCCACAAGUAGUAGGUUGUCAC
rnacentral:lncRNA from 1 species